GGUUGUGGCUCAGCGGUAGAGCACUCACCUAGCAUGUGCCAGGUCCUGGGUUCAAUCCUCAAUACCA
rnacentral:tRNA from 1 species